rnacentral:rRNA from 1 species
GCAAGUCGAAUGGGUUUAGACCCAUGGCGGACGAGGUAGGAACACGUAGGUACGUACCCAAGAGUCAGGGAUAACCCGGUGAAAGCCGGGAUAAUACUUGAUAGUCCCUUCGGGGUAAAGAUUUAUCGCUCUAGGAACGGCCCGCGGUCUAUCAGCUUGAUGGUAAGGUAACGGCUUACCAUGGCUACGACGGAUAGGGGGGGUGAGAGCCUGACC